rnacentral:rRNA from 1 species
UGGGGAAUAUUGGACAAUGGGCGAAAGCCUGAUCCAGCGACGCCGCGUGUGUGAAGAAGGCCUGCGGGUUGUAAAGCACUUUCGAUGGGAACGAAAUGUGCCGGGUUAAUACCCCGGUAAGCUGACGUUACUCAAUGAAGAAGCACCGGCUAACUCUGUGCCAGCAGCCGCGGUAAUACAGAGGGUGCGAGCGUUAAUCGGAAUUACUGGGCGUAAAGCGCACGUAGGUGGCGACGUAAGUCGGGUGUGAAAGCCCCGGGCUCAACCUGGGAAUUGCAUUCGAGACUGCAUUGCUGGAGUACGGAAGAGGAGGGCGGAAUUCCCGGUGUAGCGGUGAAAUGCGUAGAUAUCGGGAGGAACAUCAGUGGCGAAGGCGGCCCUCUGGUCCAGUACUGACACUCAAGUGCGAAAGCGUGGGGAGCAAACAGGAUUAGAUACCCACGUAGUCCCUGAG